AUUGAACGCUAGCGGGAUGCCUUACACAUGCAAGUCGAACGGAGUGGCGAACGGGUGAGUAAUGUAUCGGAACGUGACCAGGAGCGGGGGAUAACUAUGCGAAAGCGUAGCUAAUACCGAAUACUCUUGGAGCGGCCGAUACCGGAUUAGCUAGUUGGUGGGGUAACGGCUCACCAAGGCGACGAUCCUUAGCUGGUUUGAGAGGACGACCAGCAACACUGGGACUGAGACACGGUCCAGACUCCUACGGGAGGCAGCAGUGGGGAAUUUUGGACAAUGGGUGAAACCCUGAUCCAGCCAUCCCGCUUGUUCGAUGAAGGCCUUCGGGUUGUAAAGCACUUUUGGCAGGGAAGCGGUACCUGCAGAAUAAGCACCGGCUAACUCCGUGCCAGCCGCCGCGGUAAUAC
rnacentral:rRNA from 1 species